CGUAGCUAGGCCGAGUGGUAAGGCGCAGAGUUUUUGGACUCUGAGAACGUGGGUUCGAUUCCCAUAGCUGUCG